rnacentral:tRNA from 4 species
GCCGGCGUGGUGAAAUGGCAGACACGGUGGACUCAAAAUCCACUGCCUUCACGGGCAUAUGGGUUCAAGUCCCAUCGCCGGCA